CCUACGGGAGGCAGCAGUGAGGAAUAUUGGUCAAUGGGCGCGAGCCUGAACCAGCAAGUCGCGUGAGGGAAGACGGUCCUAUGGAUUGUAAACCUCUUUUGUCGGGGAGCAAAAGACGCCACGCGAAGCGUUCCGAGAGUACCCGAAGAAAAAGCAUCGGCUAACGCCGUGCCAGCAGCCGCGGUAAUACGUAGGAUGCGAGCGUUAUCCGGAUUUAUUGGGUUUAAAGGGUGCGCAGGCGGAAGAUCAAGUCAGCGGUAAAAGUAAGAGGCUCAACCUCUUCGAGCCGUUGAAACUGGUUAUCUUGAGUGAGCGAGAGGUAUGCGGAAUGCGUGGUGUAGCGGUGAAAUGCAUAGAUAUCACGCAGAACUCCGAUUGCGAAGGCAGCAUACCGGCGCUCAACUGACGCUCAUGCACGAAAGUGUGGGUAUCGAACAGGAUUAGAUACCCUUGUAGUC
rnacentral:rRNA from 1 species